rnacentral:rRNA from 1 species
GACGAACGCUGGCGGCGUGCUUAACACAUGCAAGUCGAACGGAAAGGCCCUGCUUUUGUGGGGUGCUCGAGUGGCGAACGGGUGAGUAACACGUGAGUAACCUGCCCUUGACUUUGGGAUAACUUCAGGAAACUGGGGCUAAUACCGGAUAGGAGCUCCUGCUGCAUGGUGGGGGUUGGAAAGUUUCGGCGGUUGGGGAUGGACUCGCGGCUUAUCAGCUUGUUGGUGGGGUAGUGGCUUACCAAGGCUUUGACGGGUAGCCGGCCUGAGAUGGUGACCGGCCACAUUGGGACUGAGAUACGGCCCAGACUCCUACGGGAGGCAGCAGUGGGGAAUAUUGCACAAUGGGCGGAAGCCUGAUGCAGCAACGCCGCGUGCGGGAUGACGGCCUUCGGGUUGUAAACCGCUUUCGCCUGUGACGAAGCGUGAGUGACGGUACUGGGUAAAGAAGCACCGGCUAACUACGUG